UACCCCCAUAUCUAAUAAUUCAAAUAUAUUAUAAAUUUUAUUUUCUUUGAUUAAUCUACCUAAAUAUCCAUACUCCCUCCAGUUUACUUGUCUUACUAGUUGUAUUGCCAUAAAAUAUAAUGUAGGAUUGGGUAAAGCAAUCCCACCUUUUUCCCACGUUGCUGUAAAAUUCCUAUAUUUCAACCUGACCCGCUUUCUGCUCCAUAGCAAUCUUUCCAGUAUUGGUUCCAGUUUACUAUACCAUAUAUUGCCUAUCCACAUCGGUGCUGCGCUGAAGACAAAUACAAAUUGAGAUGUAUAAAAGACUACAUAGAAGGAUUCUUCACAUACGCUCAUAUUCCUAUUAUAAUUGUCCAGAACAUAAAAAUCCAUAUUGAGCUUUCCAUAUGUCUCAGCUGGUCAACAAACUAAUGGAAACGGAUACCACUAAAAAGGCUUACAACAUAUGGCACAGUUGGUAGCGCCAAGCACUGAAGGCUUAUCUGUCUGUAGGAUGGAUAAAUAAACAGCCCUUCUGGACAUAUUUACAAUUUGCUUCAGAAUGCUGCACUGCGCCUGUGCAGAGUGACCGAGGUUGGCCGCCAGACCAUCUUUCUCUCAUUGGCUGUGACGAGUCUUGCAUAGUUCCGGCCUUUUCCUGAUGCAGUCGCGGGCUCUAUUCCUGCACCUGUGUAUUGAUUUUUCAUCCACGCUUGUUUGUUUAUGGCCGCAGUUCUUUGUGUCAAGCAUGGCGGUGGGAAUGUCAUGGCCGUGCCUGCUGCCACUGGGAGCUACAGUUCAUUGAGUUAACCAUGAAUGCCAACAUACUAUGACAUACUGAAGCAGAGCAUGAUCUCCCUUCUGAGACUGCGCCGCAGGGCAAUAUUCCAACAUGAUAAAGACCCCUCUAAGACGACCACUGCCUUGCUAAAAAAGCUGAGGGUAGAAGUGAUGGACUGGUCAAGCAUGUCCCCAGACCUAAACCCUAUUGAGCAUCUGUGGGGCAUCCUCAAAUGGAAGGUAUUGGAGUGCAGAAUCUCUAACAUUUACCAGCUUCGUGAUGUCGUCAUGAAGGAGUUGAAGAGGACACCAGUGAAAACCUGAGAAGCUCUGUUGAACUCCAUACCCAAAAGGCUUAAAGGGGUUAUCCACCAUAAGGUUUGUUGCAGAAAUUUCUGAAAACUCAAAUAACUUACUUUAGGAGUCUUAAAGGGUCAUAGAAUACAUUUGGAAUUUAGUAUGAAGACGUUGUAGAGGGAAAAAUACAUUUUCUCCAUGGGCUUUGACAUGGCAGCUGCAGGGAACUGGAGUAGGAUGACCUGUUCAUCUUCAAGGAAAAAGGGAAACAAGUGUAGCAGACACUUAAGGACACAAGCUGUAUUUUUAGCUGCUGAAAUCGUUGUCACAUUUCUCAAGGAACUGGAGCAAGCAAAACAACCUUUCACAAGGACAAUGAUUAAUAUUUAAAGCUGUUUUAAUCCUGCAGUAGCAUUCAGAAAGCUAAACUACCACUUUUCUGUUUGUAACUAAUAUUAAAGGGGUUAU